rnacentral:rRNA from 1 species
CAAAUGAAUUGACGGGUCUCCGCACAAGCAGCGGAGCGUGUGGUUUAAUUCGAUGAUACACGAAGAACCUUACCAGGGCUUGACAUGCAAGUGGUAGGAAACCGAAAGGAGACCGACCUUCGGGGAGCUUGCACAGGUGCUGCAUGGCUGUCGUCAGCUCGUGUCGUGAGAUGUUCGGUUAAGUCCGCUAACGAGCGCAACCCUCGCUGCGUGUUACAAGUGUCACGCGGGACCGCCGGUAUUAAGCCGGAGGAAGGUGGGGAUGACGUCAAGUCAGCAUGGCCUUUAUGUCCUGGGCUACACACACGCUACAAUGGCCAGCACAGUAGGUUGCGAAACCGCGAGGUGGAGCCAAUCCCUAAAGUUGGCCUCAGUUCAGAUUGUAGGCUGCAACCCGCCUGCAUGAAGAUGGAGUUGCUAGUAAACGCAGGUCAGCUACACUGCGUUGAAUACGUUCCCGGAGAUU